AUUGAACGCUGGCGGCAGGCCUAACACAUGCAAGUCGAGCGCGCGGCGGACGGGUGAGUAAUGUAUGGGGACUGCCCGAUAGAGGGGGAUAACUACUGGAAACGGUGGCUAAUACCGCGUAUUGCAGGAUAAACACGAUGGGAUUAGCUAGUAGGUAAGGUAAUGGCUUACCUAGGCGACGAUCCCUAGCUGGUCUGAGAGGAUGAUCAGCCACACUGGAACUGAGACACGGCCCAGACUCCUACGGAGGCAGCAGUGGGGAAUAUUGCACAAUGGGCGCAAGCCUGAUGCAGCCAUGCCGCGUGUAUGAAGAAGGCCUUAGGGUUGUAAAGUACUUUCAGUCGGGAGGCGUUACCGACAGAAGAAGCACCGGCUAACUCCGUGCCAGCAGCCGCGGUAAUUC
rnacentral:rRNA from 1 species